AUUAUAUCCAUUCGGUUUAUAUGGUAUAUACCAAAACCAAACCAUAUUGUCUAUUUCGAUUCGGUUCGGUUCGGUACGGUUCGGUUUUACCAUAUUGAACAGCCUAAUUUUGUGUGAAAACUUUUUUUGACUGUUAUUUUCUGAAUUUAUUAGCUCGUUUUGGUUCUUUCUCUUGGUUAAAUUUGUCAAUUACGGUUUAGUUAUAUCUCUGGUUUGGAUUUGUCUAUUUGAAUUUUGAACAAGCCUUUUAGCCGGUUUGGUUUGGGGAAGUAAUCAAUCCAAAAAAAGAAACAUUCAUCUUCGCGUUUUUUUCUCUCUCUAUCAAGGCAUCAAUCAUCUUCAUUGUUCAUCACCACCUCUGAGUCAGAACUCGAAGGGAUUGAUAGGACUAUUCUAAUGUGGACCUUGAAGCUGCUAGAGAACAAAAGGAAGCUUGCAUUGUUUAAAGGGACAUCAGCAGAUGAUGAAGGCGUCAAGUUCUCUGUCUGAAUGCUACUCUCUGUAUAAACGUUUUGGGAGUUUGAAUAUAUCUUAUGAACCCAAACGGAUAAACAACUUUUUAUUUUAUUUCUAUAAUAGCAUUCAUUCUCUAGUCACAA